rnacentral:rRNA from 1 species
GAUGAACGCUGGCGGCGUGCCUAAUACAUGCAAGUCGAGCGAACAGACGAGGAGCUUGCUCCUCUGACGUUAGCGGCGGACGGGUGAGUAGCACGUGGAUAACCUACCUAUAAGACUGGGAUAACUUCGGGAAACCGGAGCUAAUACCGGAUAAUAUAUUGAACCGCAUGGUUCAAUAGUGAAAGACGGUUUUGCUGUCACUUAUAGAUGGAUCCGCGCCGCAUUAGCUAGUUGGUAAGGUAACGGCUUACCAAGGCGACGAUGCGUAGCCGACCGGAGGGGGUGAUCGGCCACACUGGAACUGAGACACGGUCCAGACUCCUACGGGAGGCAGCAGUAGGGAAUCUUCCGCAAUGGGCGAAAGCCUGACGGAGCAACGCCGCGUGAGUGAUGAAGGUCUUCGGAUCGUAAAACUCUGUUAUUAGGGAAGAACAAAUGUGUAAGUAACUAUGCACGUCUUGACGGUACCUAAUCAGAAAGCCACGGCUAACUACGUG